rnacentral:lncRNA from 1 species
UGUUAGAUAAUAAAAUAAUAGUCUAUGUUAUUGGGCCUAUUAGGCCUAUUAGUUUAGAGUCCAUUAGGUUUUAUUAUAUAUUCUCUCAAUAACCUUUUGUAAUGUCAAGCAAUGCUAUUAUAAUAUUAUUGAAACCCUAGCCGUCACUUUGUGUUUCUCUCUGAACUUUAACAUGGCAUCAAGAGCAUGGUUCGAUCCUCCUUGAA